rnacentral:rRNA from 1 species
UCUUACCUCGUACCUUUUGCAUCAUGAUUUAGCCAGUGCAACCCAAGCAAAGAGCACUUUAGUUUGACAACCCGAAACUUUGUGAGCUACUCCAAGGCAACCUAAUCAAUAGGGCCAACCCGUCUCUGUAGCAAAAGAGUGGGGAGACCUUCGAGUAGAGGUGAUAAACCUACCGAACUUAGUAAUAGCUGGUUGCCCAUUAACUGGAUAGAAGUUCAGCCUCCCGGCUUCUUCCUUCUUACAAAUUUUUACAUCUACAGAUAUCACAAGAAACCGAGAGAGUUAGUCGAAGGGGGUACAGCCCCUUAGAAAUAAGAUACAACUUUUUAAGGAGGAUAAAGAUCAUAAUUAAACAAGGCAAAACAUCAGGGUGGGCUUGAAAGCAGCCAUCCCAUCAAAAAGCGUUAAAGCUCAGACACUCUAUUUUAAAGCCCCAAGUCUCGACCACCACCUCUUACUCCCCUUAUCCUACUGGGCCAUCCCAUGUCUACAUGGGAGCGAUUCUGCUAAAAUCAGUAUAUAAGAGAGCCUAACGGCUCUCUCCCUGCAUACAUG